rnacentral:rRNA from 1 species
ACCGGUGCGGGCGCUAUACAUGCAAGUCGAGCGAUGGAUUGAGAGCUUGCUCUCAAGAAGUUAGCGGCGGACGGGUGAGUAACACGUGGGUAACCUGCCCAUAAGACUGGGAUAACUCCGGGAAACCGGGGCUAAUACCGGAUAACAUUUUGAACCGCAUGGUUCGAAAUUGAAAGGCGGCUUCGGCUGUCACUUAUGGAUGGACCCGCGUCGCAUUAGCUAGUUGGUGAGGUAACGGCUCACCAAGGCAACGAUGCGUAGCCGACCUGAGAGGGUGAUCGGCCACACUGGGACUGAGACACGGCCCAGACUAAUACGGGAGGCAGCAGUAGGGAAUCUUCCGCAAUGGACGAAAGUCUGACGGAGCAACGCCGCGUGAGUGAUGAAGGCUUUCGGGUCGUAAAACUCUGUUGUUAGGGAAGAACAAGUGCUAGUUGAAUAAGCUGGCACCUUGACGGUACCUAACCAGAAAGCCACGGCUAACUACGUGCCAGCAGCCGCGGUAAUACGUAGGUGGCAAGCGUUAUCCGGAAUUAUUGGGCGUAAAGCGCGCGCAGGUGGUUUCUUAAGUCUGAUGUGAAAGCCCACGGCUCAACCGUGGAGGGUCAUUGGAAACUGGGAGACUUGAGUGCAGAAGAGGAAAGUGGAAUUCCAUGUGUAGCGGUGAAAUGCGUAGAGAUAUGGAGGAACACCAGUGGCGAAGGCGACUUUCUGGUCUGUAACUGACACUGAGGCGCGAAAGCGUGGGGAGCAAACAGGAUUAGAUACCCUGGUAGUCCACGCCGUAAACGAUGAGUGCU